AUGUCGUAUUACACCUGAGACUGCGGUGGAAGAAAUCGGAAGAAUUCUUCCGAUUUCUUCCACCGCAGUCUCAGGUGUAAUACGACAU
rnacentral:pre_miRNA from 1 species